rnacentral:rRNA from 1 species
AGCGGCGGACGGGUGGGUAACGCGUGGGUAACCUGCCUUAUACAGGGGGAUAACAGUUAGAAAUGACUGCUAAUACCGCAUAAGCGCACAGUACCGCAUGGUAGUGUGUGAAAAACUCCGGUGGUAUAAGAUGGACCCGCGUCUGAUUAGCCAGUUGGCGGGGUAACGGCCCACCAAAGCGACGAUCAGUAGCCGACCUGAGAGGGUGACCGGCCACAUUGGGACUGAGACACGGCCCAAACUCCUACGGAAGGCAGCAG